CGGGUUCGAUCCGGUCUGUGCGGCGGCGACGUUUUCAUAUCGGCUCUACAUUCGUUUCAGGCGCCUUUCGCAGAUCGGCAAACGAUGUCAAUUUUUUUUUUGUUGGUAUCAGAAACGACGUAUACCGAAACGGGAUCGAGUUCAAUUUACAGGAUCGAAGGCCGAGUUGAGUCGGUGGUGUUGGAAGGAGCAAAGAAAGAAUGCGACUAAAUUGAAUUGAAGUUUCUGAUUCGAUUAUAAUGGAUUUUUAGUGUCUAAUUUGCUUGUUAAGGAUUGAUUGGGUUAAACGUCUAAAGAGAUGAGUCACCCCGACAUCGUCCUAUUAUGUAAAUGUGGUCUGGGUUAGAUUUAACGAAUUCCAUUUCUUUCUGGCAAGAUUUCAAUCAAGAUUUUUCUACUUUUGAUGAAACUCUUAACAUGCUUGAAAUGGAUACUUCCUUAAUCAUAAACUAACCUUUAACCAUGUAUAUUUGAUUCUAGCUAGCACUAUAUCCUAAAUCAUUUUGUUCCUUCAAUGCUCAUGGAUUUGGUUGUUUGUGAAAAUUUAAACACAGGGCUUGGAGUUUGGUUAGCUUCUGUUUACUGGAAGCCAUGUGUAUCAGUUUAUAAACUGAUUUCUCUCUAUCUUCUUGUUUCGGUAUUUUCUCCCAAAUAUGAUAAAGCUUCCGGAAGUCUUUGGUUUCUUGGUCUUGCUAUACACAGGUUGCUGCUGAUUACAAGGUGGUUGCUUAUACCCCAGAUGUUAUGGAACGGAGAAGAAUGCAGGCAGAUGCACUUCCAGCUGUAUUUGAAACAUAUUUUCACAUAUUGAAGCACACAAUGCAGUCAUCAACUGUCAGAUCUGAAGCAAAUCUUGGUGUAUCAACCGGUGCUAUGGACUGUGGACUAACUGCAGGGUUUGAUUCGCCUAGUGUGGCUUAGGUUGUUCGUUCGUGUGAAAUAUACUGACAAAAAUUUCAGAGAUGGUUUUGGCGGUCGAAGAAGGAAGGGAAAGCGAGCUGGAUCGGAUAUGGUUUUCAGGUUUGGGUUUGGGAAGGGAUUUGAGGCUCGGCAAUAGAUUGGGAAGACGGGCAUUCAAUUUAGGGUUCCUCCCUCCUCCCUCCUCCGCUUCAUGACCCGAGCUCAGCUUCCCCACUCGAUCCACACCUCUGAAUCUGAAAUCAGAGCUCGCCGUCCAUGGCGACGCGGAAUCGGACUCCGCUCUUCAUAAAGUACCGGGAUGUGUUGAAGAGCGCCCGCGCUCCGUUGAGCUCGUCGGCGUCCACCAGCUCUGGCGGGAGAGGUCCGGUGAUUGAAUUGUCGUCGCUUGUGAAUUAGAAUCAAAACUAUGCUCCGCUCAGUACUGAAGAUCCCGGUAAUUCAAGGUCUCUCUUUCUCUAUUGAUCUCUGGAUUUGAAUUAAGCAAAUUGAAAGGUGUGAUAUUUAGUUGGAUUGAAGUUUGGGGAUUUUGAAUUG